GACGAACGCUGGCGGCGUGCCUAACACAUGCCAGUCGAACGGAAAGGCCCUGCUUUUGUGGGGUGCUCGAUUGGCGAACGGGUGAGUAACACGUGAGUAACCUGCCCUUGACUUUGGGAUAACUUCAGGAAACUGGGGCGAAUACCGGAUAGGAGCUCCUGCUGCAUGGUGGUGGUUGGAAAGUUUCGGCGGUUGGGGAUGGUCUGGCGGCUUAUCAGCUUGUUGGGCGGGUUGGUGCUGCCCAAGGGUUUGAAGGGUAGGCUGCCUGAGAGGGCGACCGGCGACCUUGGGCCUGAGGUACGGCCCAGUAUGCUACGUGACGCAGCAGUGGGGAAUAUUGCGCAGUGGGCGCAAGCCUGAUGCGGCGACGCCGCGUGCGGGAUGCCGGCCUUCGGGUUGUAAACCGCUUUCGCCUGUGCCGAAGCGUGAGUGACGGUAAUGGGUAAAGAAGCACCGGCUAACUACGUG
rnacentral:rRNA from 1 species